ACUCUAUGGUACCAUAUCUCUAUAUAUAUUAAUGUGGCGUGGUGGGUAAAUGUUCUUGUUGUGUCGUGCUCGAUGUGGGGAAGCGUUGGCCUUACAAAUGGAACGAUUGAAUGUGGAGUGGUUAUAUUGCCCUUGCGUGGUGGUUGAUCUUGUUUAUAAUUGUUGCACAUGUUCCUACUCGGGAUCCGUAACAGGUUUGUAUUGGAAGCUUCUCCCUUGAAGUCAUGGAGACUGCAUCAGUUGGAACAAGUAUAUCCUAAUUAUGUGGUUUCGGAUUAAUGGUGUAAGGGACACGGUUGCAACGUGAGUAUAUUUAAAUAGGUGUCUAGACAAGUCAGUCAGCCAGUAACAGAGAUAUGAUUAUUCCAAUUAGGAAGAUGGCAAUUGUAUAAAUGUGACGUGGGGGGGGGGGGG